CUUGCUGAACUUAAAUUUUCCAUGAACUAUAUACCAUGCAUUCAAUCACACACAAACCCAAAUAAUAGGAUCAUACACUGUUUUACUUUUUUUUUUUUUUUUAAGAGAUAGGAUCUUGCUACAUGGACCAGGCUGGAUUCAAACUCCUGAGCUCAAGCGAUCCUCUCACCUCAACCCCACACCGAGUAGCUGGGACUACUGGUGUGUGCCACCAUGCCCAGCUUUCAUACACUCUUGUAAAUACAUAAACAUGAGACUCUGGGAUUAGAAGUAAAACCUUCAUGGAGAUGAAGCUGAGGUAAACUGUUAUUAGUGAUACCUGACCUGCUCUUUUGUGUGACUCAGAUUUUUACUAGUACUUUUGUAAAAAGGGAACAAGCUUCAAAUAGAAGAAUUGCAUGCCUUUUCAAUGGUAAUAAUGGGCUAUGUGGAGAUAUAAAUAAUUGGCUUAUGGGAGACUAAAGAUACAAUGUUCUAAAAUCCUUAAAAAUUCAUAACUUCCAACUCCUUUGCAGGACUACAGUGCUAUGGAAAUAGAUGUCUUAUUCCCAGACAUAAUGUCUCCCAUCCUGUCAGAUGACUUAGGCCAGAAUACAGUUUGGCUGGAAUUAUCACAGUUGGGGAGUACAGAAAAUACAAAAUGGAGGUAAUCAUGCUAGAGGUCCACUAAAAAGGAAACAAAGAAAGGGCAACUUCUGAUUUUACUGAUCUGAAAGCCAAUACCGAGAUCCAGCUGUUGCAUUUUAACAACAAAAAAUUAUAUAUGUGAUGUAACAGAAGGAAAUAACACAUACGUGUAAAAGCCACA